CCUACGGGAGGCAGCAGUAGGGAAUAUUGCUCAAUGGGGGAAACCCUGAAGCAGCAACGCCGCGUGGAGGAUGAAGGUCUUCGGAUUGUAAACUCCUUUUGUUAGAGAAGAGAAUUACGGUACCUAACCAAUUUUCACCGGCCAACUCCGUGCCAGCCGCCGCGGCAACACGGAGGGUGCAAGCGUUAUUCGGAAUCACUGGGCGUAAAGGGCGCGUAGGCGGGUUAGCAAGUCAGAUGUGAAAUCCUAUGGCUUAACCGUAGAACUGCAUUUGAAACUGUUAUUCUAGAGUAUGGGAGAGGUAGGUGGAAUUCUUGGUGUAGAGGUGAAAUCCGUAGAGAUCAAGAGGAAUACUCAUUGCGAAGGCGGCCUGCUAGAACGUAACUGACGCUGAUGCGCGAAAGCGUGGGGAGCAAACAGGAUUAGAUACCCUAGUAGUC
rnacentral:rRNA from 1 species